CCUACGGGAGGCUGCAGUGGGGAAUAUUGGACAAUGGGGGGAACCCUGAUCCAGCCAUGCCGCGUGUGUGAAGAAGGCCCUCGGGUUGUAAAGCACUUUCAGUGAGGAAGAACGCCUGGUGGUUAAUACCCAUCAGGAAAGACAUCACUCACAGAAGAAGCACCGGCUAACUCCGUGCCAGCAGCCGCGGUAAUACGGAGGGUGCGAGCGUUAAUCGGAAUUACUGGGCGUAAAGCGCGCGUAGGUGGCUUGAUAAGCCGGUUGUGAAAGCCCCGGGCUCAACCUGGGAACGGCAUCCGGAACUGUCCAGCUAGAGUGCAGGAGAGGAAGGUAGAAUUCCCGGUGUAGCGGUGAAAUGCGUAGAGAUCGGGAGGAAUACCAGUGGCGAAGGCGGCCUUCUGGACUGACACUGACACUGAGGUGCGAAAGCGUGGGUAGCAAACAGGAUUAGAUACCCCUGUAGUC
rnacentral:rRNA from 1 species